GACGAACGCUGGCGGCGUGCCUAAUACAUGCAAGUAGAACGCACAGUUUAUACCGUAGCUUGCUACACCAUAAACUGUGAGUUGCGAACGGGUGAGUAACGCGUAGGUAAUCUGCCUGGUAGCGGGGGAUAACUAUUGGAAACGAUAGCUAAUACCGCAUAAUAUUGAUUAUUGCAUGAUAAUUGAUUGAAAGAUGCUAUUGCAUCACUACCAGAUGGACCUGCGUUGUAUUAGCUAGUAGGUGAGGUAACGGCUCACCUAGGCGACGAUACAUAGCCGACCUGAGAGGGUGAUCGGCCACACUGGGACUGAGACACGGCCCAGACUCCUACGGGAGGCAGCAGUAGGGAAUCUUCGGCAAUGGACGAAAGUCUGACCGAGCAACGCCGCGUGAGUGAAGAAGGUUUUCGGAUCGUAAAGCUCUGUUGUAAGAGAAGAACGGGUGUGAGAGUGGAAAGUUCACACUGUGACGGUAUCUUACCAGAAAGGGACGGCUAACUACGUG
rnacentral:rRNA from 1 species